GGCUUUUCUCUCUGUCACGGCUGAGUAUUGUUUAGCGUGAAUGCUGUUUUAAUGUAGCUACUUUACAGAGCCAGUUCCCCGUCCUAGUUAAUAUUUCUAGUUCUUGUCUAAGUCUAGUCACGUCUUGUUUCCUGAUUAUCCGUCUGUCUUGGAUUUCUCUCGUCUUGUCGCACUGGAUUCUCUUGGAUUUAUGAUCUGUCUAUGAAUGUCCCGUUUGCCUCAACCUUUGGAUUACGUUCGCCGUUGAUCGAUCUACGCCUGUUUGUCGGAUUACUCUUCUGUCUUGCCCUCUAUAUACCUCUUGAUGUUGGUCACUAUUACAUGAAGAAGUGCGAGCGGAACAAAAUUCUCCUUUUGUGAUCAGCAUACGGCAUUAGAACAACACCAGGAUGUUUGCUAUAUAAGCUGUCCGUCACAGUGAGGCCGAUGGAGUGAUGUCAGACCGACACCGGUGCCGCUGCAAUAAUGAUUGAGGUGUUGACGUGGAGAACAGAGGAGAGAGAGAGAUUGUGUGUUUCAUUUGUCAGAGGCUGUUGAGGGGCUAAACACUGGAGCGAACAGCAGAGAUCCAUCUCUAUCAAACACACACACACAGAAACUUCAGUGUCUUCAGAUCAUCAGAUCCAGAGCUCCUUCAUCAGACAGACGCAGCUGAGGAAGAUGUGGAUGCACAACACCAACAGCUGUCAAGGGUUAAAAUGACUCCAGAGAAAGUCUGGCAAGAAACAAUUGGAAAAGGAGACGAGAAACUGGAUAUUCAUAGAGCACUUUCAAGAAGGAACGUCAGUGAAAUGUCAGAGCGAGCGGAAGAGAAAGCCUUUAAAGCAAGAAAAGAUGGAGAGGUGAAAAGGUGAAACCAUAAAAGAAUUAGGAACAGAUAUGGAAGCGCUGAGAUUGACUGGAGCACAUAAAGAUAGCCAAAAUCCUCAUUCCCCUUUAGGAAAUCUGAUCCAGCUCGGCAGUUUGUCAUUUAUUUAUUUAUUUAUUUUUUCCGUCUGACAUUUGGGAAAAUGACUUCAAACGGUAAAUAUGUGAAUUAUUUCCCAGAAGAUUGCAGCAGAAGAACUGCUUUAACAUUCAAAUGGACUUUUAAAUAUCACUGUGUAAUUAUUGAUGAAGAUCAGUCAGUCAUCAUCGCUGGAAUGAAGGUCCGCUGCGUUUAUCAGACUCAUGGUGUUUGUGUGAUACAGACUUCAUCAGCCUCACUGUGAAUGAGAGCCUCUUUCCUGAAGGAUGCAGAAUAUUUUCACACUCGGAAAGUUCAUGAGGGAAAUAUGAGAUGAUUUAGUGACGUAAUGACUGUCCCUGUUAAGAAAAAUGUGUUUUGCUAUUAAAGGGUUAGUUCACCCAAAAAUGAAAUUUCUGUUAUUAAUUACUCUCCCUCAUGUCGUUCC